rnacentral:rRNA from 1 species
CGUGAGGGUGAAGGCCUCUGGGCUGUAAACCUCUUUUAUCAAGGAAGAAGAUCUGACGGUACUUGAUGAAUAAGCCACGGCUAAUUCCGUGCCAGCAGCCGCGGUAAUACGGGAGUGGCAAGCGUUAUCCGGAAUUAUUGGGCGUAAAGCGUCCGCAGGCGGCCCUUCAAGUCUGCUGUUAAAAAGUGGAGCUUAACUCCAUCAUGGCAGUGGAAACUGUUGGGCUUGAGUGUGGUAGGGGCAGAGGGAAUUCCCGGUGUAGCGGUGAAAUGCGUAGAUAUCGGGAAGAACACCAGUGGCGAAGGCGCUCUGCUGGGCCAUCACUGACGCUCAUGGACGAAAGCCAGGGGAGCGAAAGGGAUUAGAUACCCCUGUAGUCCUGGCCGUAAACGAUGAACACUAGGUGUCGGGGGAAUCGACCCCCUCGGUGUCGUAGCCAACGCGUUAAGUGUUCCGCCUGGGGAGUACGCACGCAAGUGUGAAACUCAAAGGAAUUGACGGGGGCCCGCACAAGCGGUGGAGUAUGUGGUUUAAUUCGAUGCAACGCGAAGAACCUUACCAGGGUUUGACAUCCUGCGAAUCUCUUGGAAACAGGAGAGUGCCUUCGGGAACGCAGUGACAGGUGGUGCAUGGCUGUCGUCAGCUCGUGUCGUGAGAUGUUGGGUUAAGUCCCGCAACGAGCGCAACCCACGUCUUUAGUUGCCAGCAUUAAGUUGGGCACUCUAGAGAGACUGCCGGUGAUAAACCGGAGGAAGGUGUGGAUGACGUCAAGUCAUCAUGCCCCUUACAUCCUGGGCUACACACGUACUACAAUGCUACGGACAAAGGGCAGCAAGUUCGCGAGGACAAGCAAAUCCCAUAAACCGUGGCUCAGUUCAGAUCGUAGGCUGCAACUCGCCUACGUGAAGGCGGAAUCGCUAGUAAUCGCAGGUCAGCAUACUGCGGUGAAUACGUUCCCGGGCCUUGUACACACCGCCCGUCACACCAUGGAAGUUGGCCACGCCCGAAGCCGUUACUCCAACCCUUGUGGAGGAGGACGUCGAAGGUGGGGCUGAUGACUGGGGUGAAGUCGUAACAAGGUAUCCGUACCGGAAGGUGCGGAUGGAUCACCUCCUAA